AAAUCAACCGAGAUUCCCCCAGUAGCGGCGAGCGAACGGGGAGCAGCCCAGAGUCUGAAUCAGCUUGUGUGUUAGUGGAACGGUCUGGAAAGUCCGACGGUACAGGGUGAUAGUCCCGUACACCAAAAUGCACAGGCUGUGAACUCGAAGAGUAGGGCGGGACACGUGGUAUCCUGUCUGAAUAUGGGGGGACCAUCCUCCAAGGCUAAAUACUCCUGACUGACCGAUAGUGAACCAGUACCGUGAGGGAAAGGCGAAAAGAACCCCGGCGAGGGGAGUGAAAAAGAACCUGAAACCGUGUACGUACAAGCAGUGGGAGCACCUUCGGGUGUGACUGCGUACCUUUUGUAUAAUGGGUCAGCGACUUAUAUUCUGUAGCAAGGUUAACCGUAUAGGGGAGCCGCAGGGAAACCGAGUCUUAACUGGGCGUUAAGUUGCAGGGUAUAGACCCGAAACCCGGUGAUCUAGCCAUGGGCAGGUUGAAGGUUGGGUAACACUAACUGGAGGACCGAACCGACUAAUGUUGAAAAAUUAGCGGAUGACUUGUGGCUGGGGGUGAAAGGCCAAUCAAACCGGGAGAUAGCUGGUUCUCCCCGAAAGCUAUUUAGGUAGCGCCUCGUGAAUUCAUCUUCGGGGGUAGAGCACUGUUUCGGCUAGGGGGUCAUCCCGACUUACCAACCCGAUGCAAACUACGAAUACCGAAGAAUGUUAUCACGGGAGACACACGGCGGGUGCUAACGUCCGUCGUGAAGAGGGAAACAACCCAGACCGCCAGCUAAGGUCCCAAAGUCAUGGUUAAGUGGGAAACGAUGUGGGAAGGCACAGACAGCCAGGAUGUUGGCUUAGAAGCAGCCAUCAUUUAAAGAAAGCGUAAUAGCUCACUGGUCGAGUCGGCCUGCGCGGAAGAUGUAACGGGGCUAAACCAUGCACCGAAGCUGCGGCAGCGACACUAUGUGUUGUUGGGUAGGGGAGCGUUCUGUAAGCCUGCGAAGGUGACCUGUGAGGGUUGCUGGAGGUAUCAGAAGUGCGAAUGCUGACAUAAGUAACGAUAAAGCGGGUGAAAAGCCCGCUCGCCGGAAGACCAAGGGUUCCUGUCCAACGUUAAUCGGGGCAGGGUGAGUCGACCCCUAAGGCGAGGCCGAAAGGCGUAGUCGAUGGGAAACAGGUUAAUAUUCCUGUACUUGGUGUUACUGCGAAGGGGGGACGGAGAAGGCUAUGUUAGCCGGGCGACGGUUGUCCCGGUUUAAGCAUGUAGGCUGGUUAUCCAGGCAAAUCCGGAUAAUCAAGGCUGAGGUGUGAUGACGAGGCACUACGGUGCUGAAGUAACAAAUGCCCUGCUUCCAGGAAAAGCCUCUAAGCAUCAGGUAACAUCAAAUCGUACCCCAAACCGACACAGGUGGUCAGGUAGAGAAUACCAAGGCGCUUGAGAGAACUCGGGUGAAGGAACUAGGCAAAAUGGUGCCGUAACUUCGGGAGAAGGCACGCUGGUGUGUAGGUGAAGUCCCUGCGGAUGGAGCUGAGACCAGUCGAAGAUACCAGCUGGCUGCAACUGUUUAUUAAAAACACAGCACUGUGCAAACACGAAAGUGGACGUAUACGGUGUGACGCCUGCCCGGUGCCGGAAGGUUAAUUGAUGGGGUUAUCCGUAAGGAGAAGCUCUUGAUCGAAGCCCCGGUAAACGGCGGCCGUAACUAUAACGGUCCUAAGGUAGCGAAAUUCCUUGUCGGGUAAGUUCCGACCUGCACGAAUGGCGUAAUGAUGGCCAGGCUGUCUCCACCCGAGACUCAGUGAAAUUGAACUCGCUGUGAAGAUGCAGUGUACCCGCGGCAAGACGGAAAGACCCCGUGAACCUUUACUAUAGCUUGACACUGAACAUUGAGCCUUGAUGUGUAGGAUAGGUGGGAGGCUUUGAAGCGUGGACGCCAGUCUGCGUGGAGCCAACCUUGAAAUACCACCCUUUAAUGUUUGAUGUUCUAACGUUGGCCCCUUACCGGGGUUGCGGACAGUGUCUGGUGGGUAGUUUGACUGGGGCGGUCUCCUCCCAAAGCGUAACGGAGGAGCACGAAGGUUAGCUAAUCCUGGUCGGACAUCAGGAGGUUAGUGCAAUGGCAUAAGCUAGCUUGACUGCGAGCGUGACGGCGCGAGCAGGUGCGAAAGCAGGUCAUAGUGAUCCGGUGGUUCUGAAUGGAAGGGCCAUCGCUCAACGGAUAAAAGGUACUCCGGGGAUAACAGGCUGAUACCGCCCAAGAGUUCAUAUCGACGGCGGUGUUUGGCACCUCGAUGUCGGCUCAUCACAUCCUGGGGCUGAAGUAGGUCCCAAGGGUAUGGCUGUUCGCCAUUUAAAGUGGUACGCGAGCUGGGUUUAGAACGUCGUGAGACAGUUCGGUCCCUAUCUGCCGUGGGCGCUGGAGAAUUGAGGGGGGCUGCUCCUAGUACGAGAGGACCGGAGUGGACGCAUCACUGGUGUUCGGGUUGUCAUGCCAAUGGCACUGCCCGGUAGCUAAAUGCGGAAGAGAUAAGUGCUGAAAGCAUCUAAGCACGAAACUUGCCCCGAGAUGAGUUCUCCCUGAGACUUUAAGUCUCCUGAAGGAACGUUAAAGACGAUGACGUUGAUAGGCCGGGUGUGUAAGCGCAGCGAUGCGUUGAGCUAACCGGUACUAAUGAACCGUGAGGCUUAACCUUACAACGCCGAAG
rnacentral:rRNA from 1 species